AAGAAUAUGCAUAUUAAUUAACCCCCCACCAGCCCCUCCCCCACUCUCUCUCUCGUAUUUUCCCCAAAACGAAACCCUAUCCUCUCUCUAUGUUUUUUAAUCUGAAAGCAUGUGAAAUCCUUAACAAUCAACUUUUUCAAAUUUAUCUCUCAAUGACUGAAGACUCACAUGAUGUCUAUUUGAAUUGGGUGAAGAUUCACAAACCGACAAUGACAAUAGUUAUUAAUCUGAACAGGGUUUGAAGAGUUGAACUUACAAGUCAAGAUGCAAGUUUUGAAGAUUUCAUGCAGUAUUCUUUAUCACUUGCAAGGGUAGUUAGGAAAAAGGUUAUUUUUGCUAAAAGAUUGUGUAAACAGCACCGUGACAUAUGCAUCAUGGUUAUACAAUUACUAGUGGGAUGUAAUAUACUUUUGUAAUUCAUACCCAAUUUUAUACAUGUACAUUUGUAUAUUUGUAUAUGAAAGCGUGAUUUUAUUGAAA